GCUCUCUGUGGCAGAACAAAUACUAAAAUUGGAAUAAUACAGAGAAGAUUAUCAUGGUCCCUGUGCAAGGAUGACAUACAAAUUCAUGUAGACGUCAGUAUUUUU
ensembl:snRNA U6 U6 spliceosomal RNA